UGAUCCUGCCAGUAGUCAUAUGCUUGUCUCGCAGAUUAAGCCAUGCAUGUCUAAGUGUAAAUAUUAUACAGUGAAACUGCGAAUGGCUCAUUAAAACAGUUAUUGUUUGGUUGGAAAAUAAUCCAUCGGAUAUCCGUGGAAAUCCUACAGUUAAUACGUACAAUCUUCUUCGGAAGAGUUGCAUAUUAAAUUGAAUAAGUAGUGGUUAAGCACUAAAAUUGAAUACUUGUAUGCACAGAUCGUUAUGAAACGAAACUCCAUCAAAGUUUCUGACCUAUCAGGUUCCGACGGUUGGGUAUUGGCCAACCGUGCCUAUAACGGGUAACGGGGGAUUAGGGUUUGAUUCCGGAGAGGGAGCUUGAGAUAUAGCUACCACAUUUAAGGAAGGCAGCAGGCGCGCAAAUUACCAAUCCUCGACACGGGGAGGUAGUAAACAGAAAUACUAACGAUCGAUAUUCGUUCGAUUAGAAUGAGUGGUACUUAAAACACA
rnacentral:rRNA from 1 species